AAACUUGCCCAAAAGGGGAGAUACUAUGAUCACCGAGGUGUUUUUCCUGGCAUGAGGCUCCUCCACUACACUCCACAUCUGCUGACCCUUAUCGUUUUCCUAAAUUCAAAAAACUACAUAAUUUGUAGUAGUUGGGGGCUGUGUUCCCACUUCUCCCUU
ensembl:snRNA Gm23467 U1 spliceosomal RNA